rnacentral:misc_RNA from 1 species
AUAAAGCUGUGGGAUCUGUCAACAUGCACAUCUCGUAUUCUUGAUUCUCCUCUUCAGUCAUUUACUGGACAUAUGAAUGUAAAGAACUUUGUUGGCCUAUCUGUAUCUGAUGGUUACAUAGCAACUGGCUCAGAGACAAAUGAGGUUGUCAUCUACCACAAAGCUUUUCCCAUGCCAGCAUUGUCAUUUAAAUUUAACUGCACAGAUCCGCUUUCUGGUGAUGAAGUGGACGACAGUGCACAGUUCAUCUCAUCUGUGUGUUGGCGUGGUCAGUCCCCUUCUUUAGUUGCCGCAAAUUCUAUGGGAAAUAUCAAGCUCUUGGAGAUGGUAUAAUGUGGUUUAAUUCCAUGAAGGUUGACUAGUUACUUCAAGAUGAGGAAAGGUGUGAAGGAGAAGAGUUCGGUAAAUGUCAAUGAGGGAGUUACAUCAAGAUAUUGUUGUAGAAGAGAUAAACUCG